rnacentral:misc_RNA from 1 species
CUUAUAGAACCACAAGUAGUAGGUGUUAUUGCAUUAAGUUGUGACGUCAAUCAAAAUUGUCACGUUUAUUUGUUAGAAGAUGGCUUGCGAUUACGGUCAGCUUUACUGCAAAAUGCAGCUGCACCAACAUUGGCUAUAACGGAACUGACUAAAAAUUUGCCUGCUGUAUUAGAAAAAUCAUUUGAACAUUUAAAAUUAUGUUUGUA